rnacentral:rRNA from 1 species
UACAGAGGGUGCGAGCGUUGUCCGGAAUCACUGGGCGUAAAGGGCGCGUAGGUGGCCCGACAAGUCAGUGGUGAAAGCUCGACGCUUAACGUCGAGUCGGCCACUGAUACUGUUGGGCUGGAGCACUGUAGAGGCUCAUGGAAUUCCGGGUGUAGCGGUGGAAUGCGUAGAUAUCCGGAGGAACACCGGUGGCGAAGGCGGCUUCCUGGACCGACACUGACGCUGAGGCGCGAAAGCUAGGGGAGCAAACGGG